GUGCAGCAGUCGAGAAACCUCCGCAAUGCGCGAAAGCGCGACGGGGUUACCCCGAGUGCCGUCCGCUGAGGACGGCUUUUGCCCAGUGUAGCCAGCUGGGCGAAUAAGGAGAGGGCAAGUCUGGUGUCAGCCGCCGCGGUAAUACCAGCUCUCCGAGUGGUGGGGACGCUUAUUGGGCCUAAAGCAUCCGUAGCCGGUCUGGCAAGUCCCUUGUUAAAUCCAACGAUUCAAUCGUUGGACUGCAAGGGGAUACUGCCAGACUAGGGGGCGGGAGAGGCCGACGGUAUUCCCGGGGUAGGGGUGAAAUCCUAUAAUCCCGGGAGGACCACCAGUGGCGAAGGCUGUCGGCUAGAACGCGCCCGACGGUGAGGGAUGAAAGCUGGGGGAGCGAACCGGAUUAGAUACCCCGGU
rnacentral:rRNA from 1 species